ensembl:lncRNA
GCGGAGGUCAAUCGUGGAUCAGGGAAAGCGAAGGCAGGAGCGUGAGGUGAACUAAAUUUCAGGUAAGAAGUUAUGACCUGCACUCUAUUUGGGUCAGAUAUAAACCGAGUUUAGGUGUAGUUUAUUUAGCAGCAGUUCUCUUAUGUGUUGCUGAUAGUCGGCUAGCUAGCUAGCGCCGCUAGCAUAGUUAGCUCGCGCCGCUAGCGACCCUUCGUGAAAAAGCACCCAGGCUUGGCUUAUAUUGAGGCGGGUGAAACUCGUGUCAGCACCCGGUCGCUCGCCGACAGUAUGUAUUUUAGCUGGACUUAUUUUUCGUUUAUAUGGGCAGAUGAUGCUGGAAACCGAAGGCAGGAGCGUGAGGUGAACUGAAUUUCAGAGUGAACGAGAUCUUUGGUUUUGCCUUUGCUGACUGCUGAUCUGAUCGUCUCAAGUCUGGUGACCUGCUGCAGAAAACCCUCUCCCUCUAUCAUUAACAAGCAAUUCAGUCUGUCCUAUCACUCUCCCUCUCCCUGCUCCAUCUUUUUGACAAGCCAUUCUAUCUUCUAUCAUUUCUCCGCCAUGAGCUCUAUCUAAGUUGACAAGCUUGAACCUGAGUUGAAACGCAAUCCUGUG